rfam:Toxocara canis scaffold106, whole genome shotgun sequence.
GUGGCAGUAGCUCAGUGGCAGAGUUCCCGCUUCGUAUGCGGGAGACCUGGAUCGAUUACCGGCUGCUUCC